rnacentral:rRNA from 1 species
GAUGAACGCUGGCGGCGUGCCUAAUACAUGCAAGUCGAGCGAACAGACGAGGAGCUUGCUCCUCUGACGUUAGCGGCGGACGGGUGAGUAACACGUGGAUAACCUACCUAUAAGACUGGGAUAACUUCGGGAAACCGGAGCUAAUACCGGAUAAUAUAUUGAACCGCAUGGUUCAAUAGUGAAAGACGGUUUUGCUGUCACUUAUAUAUGGAUCCGCGCCGCAUUAGCUAGUUGGUAAGGUAACGGCUUACCAAGGCAACGAUGCGUAGCCGACCUGAGAGGGUGAUCGGCCACACUGGAACUGAGACACGGUCCAGACUCCUACGGGAGGCAGCAGUAGGGAAUCUUCAGCAAUGGGCGAAAGCCUGACGGAGCAACGCCGCGUGAGUGAUGAAGGUCUUCGGAUCGUAAAACUCUGUUAUUAGGGAAGAACAAAUGUGUAAGUAACUAUGCACGUCUUGACGGUACCUAAUCAGAAAGCCACGGCUAACUACGUG